rnacentral:rRNA from 1 species
GAUCCUGGCUCAGGAUGAACGCUAGCUACAGGCUUAACACAUGCAAGUCGAGGGGCAGCAUGAACUUAGCUUGCUAAGUUUGAUGGCGACCGGCGCACGGGUGAGUAACACGUAUCCAACCUUCCCGUUACUCUGGAAUAGCCUUUCGAAAGAAAGAUUAAUACCGGAUAGUAUCGAGAGAUUGCAUGAUUACCCGNUUAAAGAUUCAUCGGUAACGGAUGGGAUGCUUCCAUUAGG